rnacentral:rRNA from 1 species
GCAAGUCGAGCGCGAAAGCCUUUCGGGGUGAGUAAAGCGGCGGACGGGUGAGUAACGCGUGGGAAUCUGCCCAGUAGUGGGGGACAACUUAUGGAAACGUAAGCUAAUACCGCAUACACCCUACGGGGAAAAGGGGGCUUCGGCUCUCGCUAUUGGAUGAGCCCGCGUUAGAUUAGCUUGUUGGUGAGGUAAAGGCUCACCAAGGCGACGAUCUAUAGCUGGUCUGAGAGGAUGAUC